rnacentral:rRNA from 1 species
UACGUAGGGCGCAAGCGUUGUCCGGAAUUAUUGGGCGUAAAGAGCUCGUAGGCGGCGUGUUGCGUCGGUUGUGAAAGCCCGGGGCUUAACUCCGGGUCUGCAGUCGAUACGGGCAUGCUUGAGUUCGGUAGGGGAGAUCGGAAUUCCUGGUGUAGCGGUGAAAUGCGCAGAUAUCAGGAGGAACACCGGUGGCGAAGGCGAGUCUCUGGACAGUUACUGACGCUGAGGCACGAAGGCCAGGGGAGCAAACGGG